GUGGUCACAGACCAGUGUUUGGCUUGCAUUUGGGGCAGCUGGAAUUUCUGGGGGCCCCAGGAGCAACUCAGUCAGUGAGGGAUGGGAGUUGGUGACAGAUACCUCAGUUCUAGUCCCAGGUAUCAUCAUAUCUCAGGAGGGUCCCUAGUGGGAUUGAGCCCAGUUGCCCAAGGUGGUUGCCUGCACCCCCUUUUUGCUUCCUUUCCUUGGCUGUCGCAUUUCCUCACGCCCUCCUAAGCCCUCCUAAGCCCUCCUGGGAUCACAUUACAAAUAAAUGGCUUGCACCUGAAUCUGUAUUAUCAUCUGUUCCCAGCGCAGUCCAGCCGAAAGUGACCCUUGGGAUUCUGCUUCCAUGGACUACCUGGCUGGCAGCUUCUGGUCAGUGGUACUGCUCAACACCUGCUGUGCCUUGCUUGACUGUGGCCUCCUCGUCCAUCGUAUGGAAUUUACUGCAGCCUCCUGCCUCCACACUGUGCACCCUUGACCUACCUUCCAUGUGUAUUCUGAGACACAAAUGUGCAGGUACUUCAAAAAUUUCAUAGGAAAAUGGAAUUAGAUUGUAACUUUCUUUUGGCACAAAACAUUUGAAAUCUGUGUGUCAUUUUGUAGUAAUACAGAUUUUCCAUGAAUAUUUUGAAGAUCUGACCUGUGUUCUCUUUUCAGCUCAGAGCCACUCCAUGGCUGUGGUUCCAGGGAGCUCACAGUAUAGUGGGUGGGGACAUUCAUUCAUCCUUCAGAGAAUGUAUUUCUUAAGCAGCUCCUUAUGAUAGGACCUGAUCUAGGCCAUAGGGGUGUAGCUGUGAACAAAGAUUCAAGAAUUCCUGCUGGGGUCUGGUGCUGGGGUAGGAGAAGGCCGAAACUAAGCAAGAUAAAUGAUAUUUAAUGUAUUGGGGAUAUAUACAAAGAAGAAAAUAUAGCAGGGGAGGGGGCAAAAGAAUUCCAGAGUUGGGGUGGAUGGGGGCUUUUCAAGUGGGAUGGCCAGAGAAGGCCUGUUUCUGCAGUGAUGUUGGAAUAAAGAGUGAAAGGAAGUGGGGAAAAUCA
rnacentral:lncRNA from 1 species